rnacentral:lncRNA from 1 species
UGUUUUGUGAUGUUGCCUUUUUCUAGAACGUGUAGUCGUACUCUUUUUUAUCAUAUAUUGGACAAAAGCAGACUGAGCAAGUGGGAGCGGCUUGAGAUAUUUUAUCCUUCAGAAGUUCAGAUCGACAGCUAACCCAAGUAGUACUACUCCUAGAGUAUUAUACUUGAACACAUCGCUACCAUACAAGGUUGUACAUUCCCAGUAAAGCAAACAAUGGCUACGGCCCUGGCACACCGACGGUCUCUGAUGCGCUCUAUUGCUAACCGGUACACGAUACAUACAUUCAUAUGUCGACUUCAUUUUCGGUUUCGGUUCCGGUUCUGCCACCAUUCUUUCCGAGAUCUACUCCGCAAGUCCAUGAAUGUUCCGCUGCCUCUUCCGAGAGACCCUACUCUGUUCGGAAGAGUGCUGCUACACAGUCACACACGACGGAUUUUGGACGAUUUUCACACGAUGCUACUAC